UUAAGUACUUUAUUGCUUCACAUAUAGUAAGAUAAAGGUUUCUGUAUCGUGCCUUUAAGAAUUAUUAUUUUUUUGGUUAAAUAUGAGAAGAAUGACAACUAGGCAGCCUCAGAAUAUGGUUGUACUUAGCUACUUCCUUUGUGGGUAUGUUGGUGCAGUAUAUAGGUGAAGUGUACUAUUACACAAAGCAUUGCAUUUAUUUGUUGAUAAUUAAAUUACCAAGUAAUCUAAACAAUUACAUGGUCUCUAGGUUGAAUAAUUAUGUAAUUACUUUUUUUUCAAAGGUUCUUUACUUCAUACUGAACACAGAUAUACCCUUUUAUCUUGUGUACAAUAUUACAGAAACAUAGUUUUGGAUAUCUUACUACAUAAACAGGAUGAACAAAAGAUAACAUUGUGAGGUGUUUGUGUAAUUUUAGAAAUGUACCACACAGGAAAUCCUGUUAUAUUUUAUCUUUAUUUUAUUUAUUUAUUUUUUUAAUUGUAGUACUGUGAUGUCAUUUGUCAAUUGUGAUGUGUGUUGCUGUGGAACCAUGUGAUGCUUAUAUAAAGAAAGGCCUUACAUAUGCAUAAUUGUAACAACUUUAAAGCAGGAACAAAGUGUACUACCUUUAUGAUGUGUAUAGAAUAUUAAGGAGGUGGUUCUAUAAUCUUUGAAAAAUGUGCUGUAGCACAUGUAAAGUGCUUUUUUUAGUGGUGGUAGCAGCCACUCUGGGCCAUUGGGUAGAUGGACAAAAGGAGGAAGAUAACUCUUGUGUACAGAACAUUGAAGUGGACACUAGUGGUGUUGAGACCGGCUCACAGUACCAUUUCAAGAUUAUUUUAACUAAUGAAUCGCAAUGCUUGUAUGGGAAAAGUGCAUGGGUUGUGGACAUACUGGAAUGUGACGGAAAUCGGACGUUGGCAUUCAGUUCCUUUGAUAAGCCAGAGGGUUAUCUGUGUCCUAUGGCCAAAUGUCAGAGAAUCAGAGCUGGAGGUGUCUGCUCUGCUCCUGUGAAUAUCUCUGAUGAAAUUAAUGUCAGUGUUGCCUUCCAUGUCUUUGACAUCACCGGCCUUCACCUUACCAUCCAUUCAGAUGAACGUGUGCGGUCAUGGAACCUUACCAUCCUUAAGUGCUUUGAGGACUUAAGUUGCUAUAAGAGCAAAGUUAUAGCAGAUACUGGCAAUCGGAGUGUUUUAUUCAUAGAAGAGAACUUUCUGCUGGAUACUUGUUAUGGGUUCAAGUUACAAGCGAACAGCUUUGGUGUCUGCAGAGUGUGGGUACGUGGGGGAAUAUUUAUAUCUCCAUCUGGAUGUUAUCCAAAAAACAAAAAAUUGAAAACUUCAGAAUUGGUGGUAGUCAGAAAACAGAGCUGGUGGGUGGUGCCCCUUGGAGCUGUGGCGGGAGUUGCAUCCCUCAUCAGCAUCGCACUGCUGAUUUUUUUCAGGAAGCAUCUGAAGAAUGUGGCUAUGUCCAAAGGCAUGCAUGAAAGUUCAGGAGUAGCACUAGAGAGGGCAAGCAAGCACAGACCAGCAGUCCUCAUCUUGUAUGCCCAGGACAGUGAGGCUCAUGUUGCCAUGGUGACACAAUUGAUAUUAAGGCUGAAGGAGCAUCUUUGCCAGGUUUUUGACAUCUUUGAUGAGAGCAACUUUGAAAAGUUGAGUAAUCCUUCAUGUUGGCUUCAAGAAAUUAUUUCCACAUCCUCCUUGAAGAUUGUGUUGGUGGUGUCUCCUCGGGUCAUGGAUUACUUCCAUGCUGUCAUUACCACUUGUGUCAGUUCAGGUGAACAUGUUUUGUUUGUUGCAAGUGUAAGUGGCUCAUACAUUUGUAAUGUGAAGAUUGUCUUUUGUCUUUCUCACAACUGCAGUGAAAAGUAAAGGACAGUAGAUGCAGUUUUGUAAGAUGGUAUGUUUAAAAAUUGUAGAGUUGGAUAGCUUGUAAGGAUUAUACAAGGGAGUAGGUAUUUUAAUUGAAAUGUAUCAGGGAUUUCAAUGCAUAAUAGUUUUUGAGGUUGCUGUGGUUGAGGCAUUGCUGUGGGGGGGUUGAUACAGUGAUGACCUGUUGAACCAUUUAUUUAGGAAGUUGUGCAAGAUAUGAAAGCCUAGGUGUUGUUAGUCAAUGUCAAAGUAAUUUAUAACUUUAGUGACAGUGGAUAUCAGACAAAACAAAGAUAGAAAUAGAAAGAUGUCUUAUAUAUUUACCAUUUUUAUAUUACUUUCUUUUUUUCUCGCUCUUUCUUACAUGCAGCCUCAGAAGUUAACUUGUUAGAAAAAUAACAAAUAGCUGAAAGUUGUAUAGGUAUAACACUAAUGCAAGUGAGAAAAAACAUUUCAGAUACACCGGGUGGCUGGUUUAAUAUGGACUGCAACAACCGACUUUUGUUGGCAGCAAUCAAGCAUCUUUUUGAUAAAGAACUUGUUGUCAAUUACAACAGAGUAUUUGUUGUGAGCUUUGGCAAGACCGAAAUGGGGAGUGAUUGCAGU